CAGUAGCCGCGGUAAUACGGAGGGGGCUAGCGUUGUUCGGAAUUACUGGGCGUAAAGCGCACGUAGGCGGCUUGGUAAGUUAGAGGUGAAAGCCUGGAGCUCAACUCCAGAAUUGCCUUUAAGACUGCCGAGCUAGCAGGUGAGAGAGGUAAGUGGAAUUCCGAGUGUAGAGGUGAAAUUCGUAGAUAUUCGGAAGAACACCAGUGGCGAAGGCGGCUUACUGGCUCAUACUGGGCGCUGAGGUGCGAAAGCGUGGGGAGCAAACAGGAUUAGAUACCCCAGUAGUCCCUGUCUCUUAUAA
rnacentral:rRNA from 1 species